UUUGAUCAUGGCUCAGAUUGAACGCUGGCGGCAGGCCUAACACAUGCAAGUCGAACGGUAGCACAGAGAGCUUGCUCUCGGGUGACGAGUGGCGGACGGGUGAGUAAUGUCUGGGAAACUGCCUGAUGGAGGGGGAUAACUACUGGAAACGGUGGCUAAUACCGCAUAACGUCGCAAGACCAAAGAGGGGGACCUUCGGGCCUCUUGCCAUCAGAUGUGCCCAGAUGGGAUUAGCUUGUUGGUGAGGUAACGGCUCACCAAGGCGACGAUCCCUAGCUGGUCUGAGAGGAUGACCAGCCACACUGGAACUGAGACACGGUCCAGACUCCUACGGGAGGCAGCAGUGGGGAAUAUUGCACAAUGGGCGCAAGCCUGAUGCAGCCAUGCCGCGUGUAUGAAGAAGGCCUUCGGGUUGUAAAGUACUUUCAGCGGGGAGGAAGGUGUUGUGGUUAAUAACCGCAGCAAUUGACGUUACCCGCAGAAGAAGCACCGGCUAACUCCGUGCCAGCAGCCGCGGUAAUACGGAGGGUGCAAGCGUUAAUCGGAAUUACUGGGCGUAAAGCGCACGCAGGCGGUCUGUCAAGUCGGAUGUGAAAUCCCCGGGCUCAACCUGGGAACUGCAUUCGAAACUGGCAGGCUUGAGUCUUGUAGAGGGGGGUAGAAUUCCAGGUGUAGCGGUGAAAUGCGUAGAGAUCUGGAGGAAUACCGGUGGCGAAGGCGGCCCCCUGGACAAAGACUGACGCUCAGGUGCGAAAGCGUGGGGAGCAAACAGGAUUAGAUACCCUGGUAGUCCACGCCGUAAACGAUGUCUACUUGGAGGUUGUGCCCUUGAGGCGUGGCUUCCGGAGCUAACGCGUUAAGUAGACCGCCUGGGGAGUACGGCCGCAAGGUUAAAACUCAAAUGAAUUGACGGGGGCCCGCACAAGCGGUGGAGCAUGUGGUUUAAUUCGAUGCAACGCGAAGAACCUUACCUGGUCUUGACAUCCACAGAAGAAUCCAGAGAUGGAUUUGUGCCUUCGGGAACUGUGAGACAGGUGCUGCAUGGCUGUCGUCAGCUCGUGUUGUGAAAUGUUGGGUUAAGUCCCGCAACGAGCGCAACCCUUAUCCUUUGUUGCCAGCGGUCCGGCCGGGAACUCAAAGGAGACUGCCAGUGAUAAACUGGAGGAAGGUGGGGAUGACGUCAAGUCAUCAUGGCCCUUACGACCAGGGCUACACACGUGCUACAAUGGCGCAUACAAAGAGAAGCGACCUCGCGAGAGCAAGCGGACCUCAUAAAGUGCGUCGUAGUCCGGAUUGGAGUCUGCAACUCGACUCCAUGAAGUCGGAAUCGCUAGUAAUCGUGGAUCAGAAUGCCACGGUGAAUACGUUCCCGGGCCUUGUACACACCGCCCGUCACACCAUGGGAGUGGGUUGCAAAAGAAGUAGGUAGCUUAACCUUCGGGAGGGCGCUUACCACUUUGUGAUUCAUGACUGGGGUGAAGUCGUAACAAGGUAACCGUAGGGGAACCUGC
rnacentral:rRNA from 1 species